UGUAUGAAGUGACUACAGUGGGUGUGAAUGCCAGGAGGCAGGGGUCAUUGAGGCUAUCUUUGAGGCUGGCUACCAC